AGAGUUUGAUCAUGGCUCAGGACGAACGCUGGCGGCGCGCUUAACACAUGCAAGUCGAGCGAGAACCAGUCCUUCGGGACUGGGGACAGCGGCGAACGGGUGAGUAACACGUGGGUAAUCUGCCCUCGGCACCGGAAUAGCCCGGGGAAACCCGGAUUAAUGCCGGAUGGCCUCUCGUGCUCUCGAGCGCGAGAGAAAAGGUAGCUUCGGCCUCCGGCCGAGGAUGAGCCCGCGGCCGAUUAGCUUGUUGGUGGGGUAACGGCUCACCAAGGCGACGAUCGGUAGCUGGUCUGAGAGGACGAUCAGCCACACUGGGACUGAGACACGGCCCAGACUCCUACGGGAGGCAGCAGUGGGGAAUCUUGCGCAAUGGGCGAAAGCCUGACGCAGCGACGCCGUGUGCGGGAAGAAGGCCUUCGGGUUGUAAACCGCUUUCAGGAGGGACGAAGCCACUCAGGUUAAUAGCCGAGAGGGUGACGGUACCUCCAGAAGAAGCCCCGGCUAACUACGUGCCAGCAGCCGCGGUAAUACGUAGGGGGCUAGCGUUGUCCGGAUUUAUUGGGCGUAAAGAGCGUGUAGGCGGCCAAGUAAGUCCGGUGUGAAAACUCGAGGCUUAACCUCGAGAUGUCAUCGGAAACUAUUUGGCUAGAGUCCGGAAGAGGAGAGUGGAAUUCCUGGUGUAGCGGUGAAAUGCGCAGAUAUCAGGAAGAACACCCAUGGCGAAAGCAGCUCUCUGGGACGGUACUGACGCUGAGACGCGAAAGCGUGGGGAGCGAACAGGAUUAGAUACCCUGGUAGUCCACGCCGUAAACGAUGGGUGCUAGGUGUGGGCGGUGUCGACUCCGUCCGUGCCGAAGCUAACGCAUUAAGCACCCCGCCUGGGGAGUACGGCCGCAAGGCUAAAACUCAAAGGAAUUGACGGGGCCCGCACAAGCAGCGGAGCAUGUGGUUUAAUUCGACGCAACGCGAAGAACCUUACAAGGCUUGAACAUGCCAC
rnacentral:rRNA from 1 species